GACGUUCACCUGAUUGAUUUUGGUCGCCAACGAGUGGCGGACGGGUGAGUAACACGUAGGUAACCUGCCCAGAAUGCGGGGGACAACAUUUGGAAACAGAAUGCUAAUACCGCAGCUAACAACGUUGUUCGCAUGAACAACGCUUAAAAGAUGGCUUCUCGCUAUCACUUCUGGAUGGACCUGCGGUGCAUUAGCUUGUUGGUGGGGUAACUGGCCUACGCAAGGCGAUGAUGCAUAGCCGAGUUGAGAGACUGAUCGGCCACAAUGGGACUGAGACACGGCCCAUACUCCUACGGGAGGCAGCAGUAGGGAAUCUUCCACAAUGGGCGCAAGCCUGAUGGAGCAACACCGCGUGAGUGAAGAAGGGUUUCGGCUCGUAAAGCUCUGUUGUUAAAGAAGAACACGUAUGAGAUUAACUGUUCAUACGUUGACGGUAUUUAACCAGAAAGUCACGGCUAACUACGUGCCAGCAGCCGCGGUAAUACGUAGGUGGCAAGCGUUAUCCGGAUUAUUUGGGCGUGAU
rnacentral:rRNA from 2 species